UACGUAGGGGGCAAGCGUUGUCCGGAAUCAUUGGGCGUAAAGAGCGUGUAGGCGGUUCGGUAAGUCGGCUGUGAAAGUCCAGGGCUCAAUCCUGGGAUGCCGGUCGAUACUGCCGGACUAGAGUUCGGAAGAGGCGAGUGGAAUUCCCGGUGUAGCGGUGAAAUGCGCAGAUAUCGGGAGGAACACCUAUGGCGAAGGCAGCUCGCUGGGACGUUACUGACGCUGAGACGCGAAAGCGUGGGGAGCAAACAGG
rnacentral:rRNA from 1 species